AAAUCAAACGGUGGUUCUAAAGCCAAAAAUAUCUUCUACAUUCUCCACUUUCCCCAAUUUUUUAAGGAUCUUAUGAUGUUUCAAAAGCUAAAAAUGUAAGUGCUUUAGCUUGUUGUACUUGAAUUCUAUUUUAUAUAGUUUUUAUUGAAGUCGAAUGUGAAAUUAUAAUUAUAAAAUAAAAACAUUUCAAAU